UCGUGCUAGGCGGGGAGUUAGCGGCGCCCUGUACCCGCAAUCCGCUUCAGCGGGGCUGAAUGCCCGUCAUAGAACGGCUGCGAAGGGACUGCGAGCGCCGGGCAGUGUUGAGAGCCUGGUCCCGUGCGGCGGCGCGCGGCGAACCCCGCCAGGGCCGGAAGGCAGCAACGGUAAGUCGAUGACGUCGGGUGCCACGGGAUCGCCGGGCUUGAGCCAGCCAGCAGGAGUAAGCCGGCGCAACCGAGCGAAGGCGGGGCACGG
rnacentral:SRP_RNA from 1 species